UACGGGGGGGGCAAGCGUUGUUCGGAAUUACUGGGCGUAAAGGGCUCGUAGGCGGCCAACUAAGUCAUACGUGAAAUCCCUCGGCUUAACCGGGGAACUGCGUCUGAUACUGGAUGGCUUGAGUUCGGGAGAGGGAUGCGGAAUUCCAGGUGUAGCGGUGAAAUGCGUAGAUAUCUGGAGGAACACCGGUGGCGAAGGCGGCAUCCUGGACCGAUACUGACGCUGAUGAGCGAAAGCGUGGGGAGCGAACAGG
rnacentral:rRNA from 1 species